CAAUCCUCCCUCCCCGUCAGCGUCAGGGGAUGGGCUCGGCGGCAGGGAGAGCAGCGCGCCACCAGGCACGAGCCGCCGCCGGCAGCCGUGUGAGCGGGGCCGGAGCCCAGCCCAGCCAAGACACCGGCACGUCUGCCUCACGCCAGCGGCAGGGAGCCGGCCAGCAGCAGCCGGCGUGACUGAGAGCAGCCAGGCAGGAGGCUGGCUCCUGCAGUCGGGCGGGGCAGCACCACGCGGGGGGCAGGCACCGGGUCCUCGGCUCCCUCCACUUCUCUCCCAGCCCCUUCGGGGAGGGCAGCCCCGGCCCCCAACAGCGGGAAUGACGCAGAGGGCCUCCCCACAGCCCCGGCUCUAAGGCAGGGGCCAACAACCCGGCGCAGGUCAGCCGCAAGCAGCCCCGUGCGCUGCGCACCUACCUUGUCAGAGGUAGCCCUGUGCCCCCGCCAGGCGACGUCAGCCCCGCGUGCAGCCCCCAGGCACGCCCGGGUAAGUCUAGGAUGUUCUACACCCAGAACCGGGGACAGCUCCGUCCCGAGCCCCCAGCGCCCAGGCUGGAUUCGGGGGACUCAUCCAGCCCAGGGCAGCCUCACAGAGCAACCGCGCUCAUCACCUACUCUGAGUGUCUCUCCAGCACGCCCCUUUUGAGCCCUCUCCUUCAUCGCCCUUGGCUUACCGCAAGGCCCUGUGUUGAACACGAGUACACGGAAGUACAGGUUACUGCAGCGCUGUACACUGGUUUUUAAACUGUUUAGUAUAGGUAAGAAUUUAAGUUUUCUAUAAAAUAUUAAAUGCUUAACUCCUACACACUGAAAAUAUGAUCCAUAAAGUGAUGGGGGAAUGUAGGCUCAAGGUUGCAGCCAGACAAACAAGGGCUCUAAGAGAAGUGAGCUGCUCUUAAUUCAUCUGAAUGGGGUAUUAAACCUGAAGUCUGAAACCGUAGCUAUAGGGACAGUUAGGCUACAUCUACACUACGGGAGGGGGUCGAUUUAAGAUACGCAAAUUCAGCUACUGAAUAGCGUAGCUGAAUUCGACGUAUCGCAGCCGACUUACCCCACUGUAGGGACGGCGGCAAAAUCGACCUCUGCGGCUUCCUGUCGACGGCGCUUACUCCCACCUCCGCUGGUGAAGUAAGAGCAUCGAUUCGGGGAUCGAUUGUCGCGUCCCAAUGGGACGCAAUAAAUCGAUCCCCGAGAGGUCGAUUUCUACCUGC
rnacentral:lncRNA from 1 species